GACGAACGCUGGCGGCGUGCUUAACACAUGCAAGUCGAACGGAAAGGCCCUGCUUUUGUGGGGUGCUCGAGUGGCGAACGGGUGAGUAACACGUGAGUAACCUGCCCUUGACUUUGGGAUAACUUCAGGAAACUGGGGCUAAUACCGGAUAGGAGCUCCUGCUGCAUGGUGGGGGUUGGAAAGUUUCGGCGGUUGGGGAUGGACUCGCGGCUUAUCGGCUUGUUGGUGGGGUAGUGGCUGACCAAGGCUUUGACGGGUAGCCGGCCUGGGAGGGUGACCGGCCUCAUGGCGCCUGCGAUACGGCCCAGACGCCUACGGGAGGCAGCAGUGGGGAAUCUGGCACAGUGGGCGGAAGCCUGAUGCAGCAACGCCGCGUGCGGGAUGACGGCCUUCGGGUUGUAAACCGCUUUCGCCUGUGACGAAGCGUGAGUGACGGUAAUGGGUAAAGAAGCACCGGCUAACUACGUG
rnacentral:rRNA from 1 species